rnacentral:rRNA from 1 species
AUGCAGCAACCAUCUCUUGACGUGGAUGGCUGCGCCAAUCGCCACGCCGUCAACAUCUUGCGGCAUCGCACCGCAACCGGCCACCAGCGGCAUCACGCCACCGACAGCCUCCACCUUGCGCCGCCGUCCUCCACCUCACAUGGAGUAGGCCGCGCCGCCGUCGUCGCCUCGGAUCGACAAGGCUCUGAUACCAAUUGUUGGCGCCGCCUCUCCUCGCAGCGCCGCUUCUUCUUCCUCCUGAGCUGCCUCUCACAACUCAAUCUCCAUCUCUCUUUGUCUCUCUCAAGAACACACACUACACGGUCAUGGUGA